rnacentral:rRNA from 1 species
GAUGAACGCUGGCGGCGUGCCUAAUACAUGCAAGUCGAGCGAACGGACGAGAAGCUUGCUUCUCUGAUGUUAGCGGCGGACGGGUGAGUAACACGUGGAUAACCUACCUAUAAGACUGGGAUAACUUCGGGAAACCGUAGCUAAUACCGGAUAAUAUUUUGAACCGCAUGGUUCAAAAGUGAAAGACGGUCUUGCUGUCACUUAUAGAUGGAUCCGCGCUGCAUUAGCUAGUUGGUAAGGUAACGGCUUACCAAGGCAACGAUGCAUAGCCGACCUGAGAGGGUGAUCGGCCACACUGGAACUGAGACACGGUCCAGCCUCCUACGGUAGGCAGCAGUAGGGAAUCUUCCGCAAUGGGCGAAAGCCUGACGGAGCAACGCCGCGUGAGUGAUGAAGGUCUUCGGAUCGUAAAACUCUGUUAUUAGGGAAGAACAUAUGUGUAAGUAACUGUGCACAUCUUGACGGUACCUAAUCAGAAAGCCACGGCUAACUACGUG